AUUGAACGCUGGCGGCAUGCCUUACACAUGCAAGUCGAACGGCAGCACGGGUGCUUGCACCUGGUGGCGAGUGGCGAACGGGUGAGUAAUAUAUCGGAACGUACCUUAUCGUGGGGGAUAACGCAGCGAAAGCUGCGCUAAUACCGCAUACGCCCUGAGGGGGAAAGCGGGGGACCGUAAGGCCUCGCGCGAUUAGAGCGGCCGAUAUCUGAUUAGCUUGUUGGUGGGUAAAGCCCACCAAGGCGACGAUCAGUAGCUGGUCUGAGAGGACGAUCAGCCACACUGGGACUGAGACACGGCCCAGACUCCUACGGGAGGCAGCAGUGGGGAAUUUUGGACAAUGGGGGCAACCCUGAUCCAGCAAUGCCGCGUGAGUGAAGAAGGCCUCGGUUGG
rnacentral:rRNA from 1 species